GUGCCUCCAGCUGGUAGCUGGGAAGAGCUGCAGGAUGGAGGCGCCGCUCAGCAGAGCACCACCACCCGCAGAAGCAGCAGCAGCAGCAGCAGCUGCACGCUCCACACUGCUCGGCGUCUCGCCGGCCGAGCGGUAGGGGGAGCUCAUCUGCCCGCUGUGUGUAGUCAGGUCACGUGCCGGGCAAGAAAACACAGCCGCUGCAAAAACAAAUGCAGCUGGUAGAACAGUCUUGUGCCCACCUGGUCCACGGGUCACUUAGUGAUGGCCUUAAGCAAUCCUUCCGCUUGCCAUAAGCGCACGCCGGGAGUCACCUGAGCUUUCGGCACAAAGGCUGGGGCAGAUGUAACCACCACUUUCUGCUGCUGAGGAGCUCCUCCAACCAAUGCUGUCUUUCCUGGGUGUGCCUGCUGGAUUUCUGCAUUCACGCAGUUCAGCAAAAGCUUGUCUGGAAAGAACAGACUGCCCCGUUGACGCCCACGCUUUUAGGAGUACGUACACGUAUCUAAUGUUGUUAUUAUCUUGAUACACGUGUGUCUGUUU
rnacentral:lncRNA from 7 species